CAUUCAGUAGCUUGCUACUGUUAGGGGGGGUCUAUCAGCCUGUAUAGUGUAAAAACUGAUGAGCAGCACGACCCUCUGUCUGUACCCUUGUCUUUUGCGCACUCAAGUUUCCUCGGCGGGUCUACGCCCGCCGGUUGGACAACUCUAUAACUCUUUUAAUUUUCAAUCAGCGUCUGAAUAAAACCUAAUAAUUA
rnacentral:misc_RNA from 1 species